rnacentral:lncRNA from 1 species
CAGGCUGGGAGUGCCCGCCUCGAGGUCUCCUUACUUACCCACCACGGUACCCUGGCCAGGGCCGUCUGAGGUGGCUCCUGUUAUCGUGGCUGCUUUUGAGGAUCAUGGUUAAGACCACCGGACCGACGGUCAAGCCGGUUGUAAAUACCCUUCUUUCCAUGUUCUUCAGGGACACCAGCCCCAGCGACGACCUUGGACGAUUUCAACGCGCAGGCACCUCGAUCCCCCGAAUUCUUGGUGUGGCCGGUAUCACUGUUCCCCUGGUUUAACUAGCCUGUUUGGUAAGUAACUGAAUAUUUUUUACAGCGUGUUCAGAGCUUAUUUUCCAGUUUUUAUGAACAAACAUAUAAAUAUAUCUCUGCAUUCCUGACUCUCCCAUAAAAGCGGGCAUCUGUGGAAAGCAGGUUUAGUUAUCGGAGGGGAACCAUUAAACAGCAGUUUAAGAGGCAGAGCGGGAGGACGGCUCGUGGAUGUUUAGACUGCUGGCCUUAGUGAUCUUGAACGCAUUAUAACGGAAAAUGGAUCUCCAUUUGUAAGUCA